rnacentral:rRNA from 1 species
GGGUUGUGAGGUUAAGCGACUAAGCGUACACGGUGGAUGCCCUGGCAGUCAGAGGCGAUGAAGGACGUGCUAAUCUGCGAUAAGCGUCGGUGAGGUGAUAUGAACCGUUAUAACCGGCGAUUUCCGAAUGGGGAAACCCAGUGUGUUUCGACACACUAUCAUUAACUGAAUCCAUAGGUUAAUGAGGCGAACCGGGGGAACUGAAACAUCUAAGUACCCCGAGGAAAAGAAAUCAACCGAGAUUCCCCCAGUAGCGGCGAGCGAACGGGGAGGAGCCCAGAGCCUGAAUCAGUGUGUGUGUUAGUGGAAGCGUCUGGAAAGGCGCGCGAUACAGGGUGACAGCCCCGUACACAAAAAUGCACAUACUGUGAGCUCGAUGAGUAGGGCGGGACACGUGGUAUCCUGUCUGAAUAUGGGGGGACCAUCCUCCAAGGCUAAAUACUCCUGACUGACCGAUAGUGAACCAGUACCGUGAGGGAAAGGCGAAAAGAACCCCGGCGAGGGGAGUGAAAAAGAACCUGAAACCGUGUACGUACAAGCAGUGGGAGCCUCUUAAUGGGGUGACUGCGUACCUUUUGUAUAAUGGGUCAGCGACUUAUAUUCUGUAGCAAGGUUAACCGAAUAGGGGAGCCGAAGGGAAACCGAGUCUUAACUGGGCGUUAAGUUGCAGGGUAUAGACCCGAAACCCGGUGAUCUAGCCAUGGGCAGGUUGAAGGUUGGGUAACACUAACUGGAGGACCGAACCGACUAAUGUUGAAAAAUUAGCGGAUGACUUGUGGCUGGGGGUGAAAGGCCAAUCAAACCGGGAGAUAGCUGGUUCUCCCCGAAAGCUAUUUAGGUAGCGCCUCGUGAAUUCAUCUCCGGGGGUAGAGCACUGUUUCGGCAAGGGGGUCAUCCCGACUUACCAACCCGAUGCAAACUGCGAAUACCGGAGAAUGUUAUCACGGGAGACACACGGCGGGUGCUAACGUCCGUCGUGAAGAGGGAAACAACCCAGACCGCCAGCUAAGGUCCCAAAGUCAUGGUUAAGUGGGAAACGAUGUGGGAAGGCCCAGACAACCAGGAUGUUGGCUUAGAAGCAGCCAUCAUUUAAAGAAAGCGUAAUAGCUCACUGGUCGAGUCGGCCUGCGCGGAAGAUGUAACGGGGCUAAACCAUGCACCGAAGCUGCGGCAGCGACACUAUGUGUUGUUGGGUAGGGGAGCGUUCUGUAAGCCUGUGAAGGUGUACUGUGAGGUAUGCUGGAGGUAUCAGAAGUGCGAAUGCUGACAUAAGUAACGAUAAAGCGGGUGAAAAGCCCGCUCGCCGGAAGACCAAGGGUUCCUGUCCAACGUUAAUCGGGGCAGGGUGAGUCGACCCCUAAGGCGAGGCCGAAAGGCGUAGUCGAUGGGAAACAGGUUAAUAUUCCUGUACUUGGUGUUACUGCGAAGGGGGGACGGAGAAGGCUAUGUUGGCCGGGCGACGGUUGUCCCGGUUUAAGCGUGUAGGCUGGUUUUCCAGGCAAAUCCGGAAAAUCAAGGCUGAGGCGUGAUGACGAGGCACUACGGUGCUGAAGCGACAAAUGCCCUGCUUCCAGGAAAAGCCUCUAAGCAUCAGGUAACAUCAAAUCGUACCCCAAACCGACACAGGUGGUCAGGUAGAGAAUACCAAGGCGCUUGAGAGAACUCGGGUGAAGGAACUAGGCAAAAUGGUGCCGUAACUUCGGGAGAAGGCACGCUGAUAUGUAGGUGAAGCGACUUGCUCGUGGAGCUGAAAUCAGUCGAAGAUACCAGCUGGCUGCAACUGUUUAUUAAAAACACAGCACUGUGCAAACACGAAAGUGGACGUAUACGGUGUGACGCCUGCCCGGUGCCGGAAGGUUAAUUGAUGGGGUUAGCGGUAACGCGAAGCUCUUGAUCGAAGCCCCGGUAAACGGCGGCCGUAACUAUAACGGUCCUAAGGUAGCGAAAUUCCUUGUCGGGUAAGUUCCGACCUGCACGAAUGGCGUAAUGAUGGCCAGGCUGUCUCCACCCGAGACUCAGUGAAAUUGAACUCGCUGUGAAGAUGCAGUGUACCCGCGGCAAGACGGAAAGACCCCGUGAACCUUUACUAUAGCUUGACACUGAACAUUGAGCCUUGAUGUGUAGGAUAGGUGGGAGGCUUUGAAGUGUGGACGCCAGUCUGCAUGGAGCCGACCUUGAAAUACCACCCUUUAAUGUUUGAUGUUCUAACGUGGGCCCCUUACCGGGGUUGCGGACAGUGUCUGGUGGGUAGUUUGACUGGGGCGGUCUCCUCCUAAAGAGUAACGGAGGAGCACGAAGGUUGGCUAAUCCUGGUCGGACAUCAGGAGGUUAGUGCAAUGGCAUAAGCCAGCUUGACUGCGAGCGUGACGGCGCGAGCAGGUGCGAAAGCAGGUCAUAGUGAUCCGGUGGUUCUGAAUGGAAGGGCCAUCGCUCAACGGAUAAAAGGUACUCCGGGGAUAACAGGCUGAUACCGCCCAAGAGUUCAUAUCGACGGCGGUGUUUGGCACCUCGAUGUCGGCUCAUCACAUCCUGGGGCUGAAGUAGGUCCCAAGGGUAUGGCUGUUCGCCAUUUAAAGUGGUACGCGAGCUGGGUUUAGAACGUCGUGAGACAGUUCGGUCCCUAUCUGCCGUGGGCGCUGGAGAACUGAGGGGGGCUGCUCCUAGUACGAGAGGACCGGAGUGGACGCAUCACUGGUGUUCGGGUUGUCAUGCCAAUGGCACUGCCCGGUAGCUAAAUGCGGAAGAGAUAAGUGCUGAAAGCAUCUAAGCACGAAACUUGCCCCGAGAUGAGUUCUCCCUGACUCCUUGAGAGUCCUGAAGGAACGUUGAAGACGACGACGUUGAUAGGCCGGGUGUGUAAGCGCAGCGAUGCGUUGAGCUAACCGGUACUAAUGAACCGUGAGGCUUAACCUUACAACGCCGAAG